UAACGCGUGGGUAACCUGCCCUGUACACACGGAUAACAUACCGAAAGGUAUGCUAAUACGAGAUAACAUAAGAAAAUCGCAUGUUUUUCUUAUCAAAGCUCCGGCGGUACAGGAUGGACCCGCGUCUGAUUAGCUAGUUGGUGAGGUAAUGGCUCACCAAGGCGACGAUCAGUAGCCGACCUGAGAGGGUGAUCGGCCACAUUGGAACUGAGACACGGUCCAAACUCCUACGGGAGGCAGCAGUGGGGAAUAUUGCACAAUGGGCGAAAGCCUGAUGCAGCAACGCCGCGUGGGCGAUGAAGGCCUUCGGGUCGUAAAGCUCUGUCCUCAAGGAAGAUAAUGACGGUACUUGAGGAGGAAGCCCCGGCUAACUACGUGCCAGCAGCCGCGGUAAUACGUAGGGGGCUAGCGUUAUCCGGAUUUACUGGGCGUAAAGGGUGCGUAGGCGGUCUUUUAAGUCAGGAGUGAAAGGCUACGGCUCAACCGUAGUAAGCUCUUGAAACUGGAGGACUUGAGUGCAGGAGAGGAGAGUGGAAUUCCUAGUGUAGCGGUGAAAUGCGUAGAUAUUAGGAGGAACAUCAGUAGCGAAGGCGGCUCUCUGGACUGUAACUGACGCUGAGGCACGAAAGCGUGGGGAGCAAACAGGAUUAGAUACCCUGGUAGUCCACGCCGUAAACGAUGAGUACUAGCUGU
rnacentral:rRNA from 1 species